GAUGAACGCUGGCGGCGUGCCUAAUACAUGCAAGUCGAGCGAACAGACGAGGAGCUUGCUCCUCUGACGUUAGCGGCGGACGGGUGAGUAACACGUGGAUAACCUACCUAUAAGACUGGGAUAACUUCGGGAAACCGGAGCUAAUACCGGAUAAUAUAUUGAACCGCAUGGUUCAAUAGUGAAAGACGGUUUUGCUGUCACUUAUAGAUGGAUCCGCGCCGCAUUAGCUAGUUGGUAAGGUAACGGCUUACCAAGGCAACGAUGCGUAGCCGACCUGAGAGGGUGAUCGGCCACACGGGAACUGAGACACGGUCCAGACUCCUACGGGAGGCAGCAGUAGGGAAUCUUCCGCAAUGGGCGAAAGCCUGACGGAGCAACGCCGCGUGAGUGAUGAAGGUCUUCGGAUCGUAAAACUCUGUUAUUAGUGAAGAACAAAUGUGUAAGUAGCUAUGCACGUCUUGACGGUACCUAAUCAGAAAGCCACGGCUAACUACGUG
rnacentral:rRNA from 1 species